rnacentral:rRNA from 1 species
UACGGAGGGAGCUAGCGUUGUUCGGAAUUACUGGGCGUAAAGCGCGCGUAGGCGGCUUUGUAAGUUAGAGGUGAAAGCCCGGGGCUCAACUCCGGAACUGCCUUUAAGACUGCAUCGCUUGAAUCCGGGAGAGGUGAGUGGAAUUCCGAGUGUAGAGGUGAAAUUCGUAGAUAUUCGGAAGAACACCAGUGGCGAAGGCGACUCGCUGGACAAGUAUUGACGCUGAGGUGCGAAAGCGUGGGGAGCAAACAGG